UACGUAGGGUGCAAGCGUUGUCCGGAAUUAUUGGGCGUAAAGAGCUCGUAGGCGGUUUGUCGCGUCGGCUGUGAAAACCUGGGGCUCAACCCCGGGCCUGCAGCCGAUACGGGCAAACUAGAAUUCGGUAGGGGAGACUGGAAUUCCUGGUGUAGCGGUGGAAUGCGCAGAUAUCAGGAGGAACACCGGUGGCGAAGGCGGGUCUCUGGGCCGUUACUGACGCUGAGGAGCGAAAGCGUGGGGAGCGAACAGG
rnacentral:rRNA from 1 species